rnacentral:rRNA from 1 species
AGAUUGAACGCUGGCGGCAGGCCUAACACAUGCAAGUCGAGCGGAUGAAGAGAGCUUGCUCUCUGAUUCAGCGGCGGACGGGUGAGUAAUGCCUAGGAAUCUGCCUGGUAGUGGGGGACAACGUUUCGAAAGGAACGCUAAUACCGCAUACGUCCUACGGGAGAAAGCAGGGGACCUUCGGGCCUUGCGCUAUCAGAUGAGCCUAGGUCGGAUUAGCUAGUUGGUGAGGUAAUGGCUCACCAAGGCGACGAUCCGUAACUGGUCUGAGAGGAUGAUCAGUCACACUGGAACUGAGACACGGUCCAGACUCCGUACGGGAGCAGCAGUGGGGAAUAGUUGGACAAGUGGACGAAGCCUG